rnacentral:tRNA from 1 species
GGGGCUGUGGCGCAGUGGGUUAACGCCUUGGCCUGAAGUGCCAGCAUCCCCAGCAUCUCAUAUGGGUGCGGGUUCGAGACCCGGCUGUUCCA